rnacentral:rRNA from 1 species
GGGAGCCUUUGCACAUUGCAAGUCGAGCGGAGAGAGGUAGCUUGCUACUGAUCUUAGCGGCGGACGGGUGAGUAAUGCUUAGGAAUCUGCCUAUUAGUGGGGGACAACAUUUCGAAAGGAAUGCUAAUACCGCAUACGUCCUACGGGAGAAAGCAGGGGAUCUUCGGACCUUGCGCUAAUAGAUGAGCCUAAGUCGGAUUAGCUAGUUGGUGGGGUAAAGGCCUACCAAGGCGACGAUCUGUAGCGGGUCUGAGAGGAUGAUCCGCCACACUGGGACUGAGACACGGCCCAGACUCCUACGGGAGGCAGCAGUGGGGAAUAUUGGACAAUGGGCGCAAGCCUGAUCCAGCCAUGCCGCGUGUGUGAAGAAGGCCUUAUGGUUGUAAAGCACUUUAAGCGAGGAGGAGGCUACUUUAGUUAAUACCUAGAGAUAGUGGACGUUACUCGCAGAAUAAGCACCGGCUAACUCUGUGCCAGCAGCCGCGGUAAUACAGAGGGUGCAAGCGUUAAUCGGAUUUACUGGGCGUAAAGCGCGCGUAGGCGGCUAAUUAAGUCAAAUGUGAAAUCCCCGAGCUUAACUUGGGAAUUGCAUUCGAUACUGGUUAGCUAGAGUGUGGGAGAGGAUGGUAGAAUUCCAGGUGUAGCGGUGAAAUGCGUAGAGAUCUGGAGGAAUACCGAUGGCGAAGGCAGCCAUCUGGCCUAACACUGACGCUGAGGUGCGAAAGCAUGG